CCUACGGUGGGCUGCAGUGGGGAAUUUUGGACAAUGGGCGCAAGCCUGAUCCAGCCAUUCCGCGUGAGUGAAGAAGGCCUUCGGGUUGUAAAGCUCUUUCGCAAGGGAAGAAAACUUAUCCUCUAACAUAGGAUGAGGUUGACGGUACCUUGAUAAGAAGCACCGGCUAACUACGUGCCAGCAGCCGCGGUAAUACGUAGGGUGCGAGCGUUAAGCGGAGUUACUGGAGGUUGUUUUGUAGGUCAGAGGUGAAAUCCCCGAGCUCAACUUGGGAACUGCGUUUGAAACUACAAGACUAGAAUAGGUCAGAGGGGGGUAGAAUUCCACGUGUAGCAGUGAAAUGCGUAGAGAUGUGGAGGAAUAUCAAUGGCGAAGGCAGCCCCCUGGGAUCAUAUUGACGCUCAUGCACGAAAGCGUGGGGAGCAAACAGGAUUAGAUACCCCAGUAGUC
rnacentral:rRNA from 1 species